GACGAACGCUGGCGGCGUGCUUAACACAUGCAAGUCGAACGGAAAGGCCCUGCUUUUGUGGGGUGCUCGAGUGGCGAACGGGUGAGUAACACGUGAGUAACCUGCCCUUGACUUUGGUAUAACUUCAGGAAACUGGGGCUAAUACCGGAUAGGAGCUCCUGCUGCAUGGUGGGGGUUGGAAAGUUUCGUCGGUUGGGGAUGGACUCGCGGCUUAUCAGCUUGUUGGUGGGGUAGUGGCUUACCAAGGCUUUGACGGGUAGCCGGCCUGAGAGGGUGACCGGCAACAUUGGGACUGAGAUACGGCCAAGACUCCUACGGGAGGCAGCAGUGGGGAAUAUUGCAAAAGGGGCGGAAGCCUGAUGCAGCAACGCCGCGUGCGGGAUGACGGCCUUCGGGUUGUAAACCGCUUUCGCCUGUGACGAAGCGUGAGUGACGGUAAUGGGUAAAGAAGCACCGGCUAACUACGUG
rnacentral:rRNA from 1 species